rnacentral:lncRNA from 12 species
GAAGGGUUCUACCUGACCUUGGCCAGGGACAGGAGCCAAGUGCAUUGUUCAAGGCCCCAGGGUCCUUGGUUUUCCAGAGCAAAGCCUGGGAGGUGCUGCAGAGAAUCCACGAGUGGGCUGUCACACACUGCAGUGUAGGAUCUCAAGAUGAGGAAAUCCCUGCAAGAUAGUGCUCAUAUUCUUUGGGAAUACCAGACCUGAGUGUGCUGUGGUAGCCCCCCCAAGGCUGUAUCCUGUCUUCCAAGAAGACCAAACCUGCUUUUUCUAGGCUCC